rnacentral:rRNA from 1 species
AUUGAACGCUGGCGGCAGGCUUAACACAUGCAAGUCGAGCGAGCGGCGGACGGGUGAGUAAUGUCUGGGAAACUGCCCGAUGGAGGGGGAUAACUACUGGAAACGGUAGCUAAUACCGCAUACCAUCAGAUGUGCCCAGAUGGGAUUAGCUAGUAGGUGGGGUAAUGGCUCACCUAGGCGACGAUCCCUAGCUGGUCUGAGAGGAGGACCAGCCAAACUGGAACUGAGAAACGGUCCAGACUCCUACGGGAGGCAGCAGUGGGGAAUAUUGCACAAUGGGCGCAAGCCUGAUGCAGCCAUGCCGCGUGUGUGAAGAAGGCCUUCGGGUUGUAAAGCACUUUCAGCGGGGAGGCGUUACCCGCAGAAGAAGCACCGGCUAACUCCGUGCCAGCCGCCGCGGUAAUAC